GCCCAUCAGGCUCAAACGGUAAAGCAUCUGCCUACAAUGCAGGAGACCCGGGUUCAAUCCCUGGGUUGGGAA
rnacentral:tRNA from 1 species